CUCUGUUAAAAAUAGCUACUGCCGACUGAGUUUCUACUGUGUAUCAGGCCCUGAGUUCUUAGCUCGUUUGAUUUUCACAGCCACGAAGAAGACACUGCUAUUCCCGUAUUACAGGUGAGGAAGCUGGAGCUCAGAGAGGUUAGCAGGGUCACACAGCAGGUACACGGCAGAGUUUGGGUUAUACCACAGCUCUGCUGGAGCCCGCCUUACUGUGUUGGGGGUACUGCCCUAAGAACGCCACAUAUAAUAAAUCUAAGUAGGUACUGUCAUAAUGUCCAUUCCACGGAUGAGUCACUGUAUCUUGGAGCUCUGCCAUACGAAUUCUCUUACCCGCCCAGCAUAGACAGUCGUGGAAGCCAGAAGAGCUGGCAGAGUCUAGAAAUCGGCUGUCCCCACUCUCACUGCGUACCAGAAGAAAGUGGACCCUCUUUCUCACUUCCUAAGAAUACCCCCACGAGGUGACAGCAUAUCCUCUCAGCCCGUGGCAGGAGACCUCCCCUACAAAGCCCUAUUGACCAGAAGAGUCCCAUUGCCUGGAUUCCAUCCACCAUGAAAGCCUGCCAGAGCGUAUCUGAAAUGAAGCUCCAAAUUCCCAAAGGUUUGCAGGAUCGGAGCAGAAUGGAGAGACCUGUGGCGGUAGAGUCAUGUCAACAAACCACAGUGACACAUGAGGACAUGGAUGAAUCCCACAAGCAUAGAACACAAAAAAGCACAGCGUGUGAGAGAGACUCCAUUGCCACGACGUUCCACAACAGUCAAGCUCAUGUGUGAUUUCACAAGUCAGGGCAGCAGUUCCCCACAGCUGUACAUGCUGAUUAGAGGGGGUUACUAGAGGUCUUCCUUCAGGGGAUGCUGCUGAUGUUGUCUAUUUGGUGUUGGUUACAUGGGUGUGUUCACAUUGCAAUAAUUCAUCCCACUGUUCACUAAGGUUUGUGCAUUUUCUUGGAUGUAUGUUACAUUUCCAUGCAUUUGAAUGAUAAUAAUGAGGAUGAUGAUGAUGGUUUAAUUUCUUUUCUUAGUGCCUGUAAUCCUAGCACUUUGGGAGGCUGAGGCAGGAGGAUCACUUGAGGCCAGGAGUUUGAGACCACCCUGGGCAACAUAGCCAGACCUUAUCUCUAUAAAAAAUAAAAAUUAGGCCGGGCGGGGUGGCUCA
rnacentral:lncRNA from 1 species